UACGAAGGGGGCUAGCGUUGUUCGGAUUUACUGGGCGUAAAGGGCGCGUAGGCGGAUUUUUAAGUCAGGGGUGAAAUCCCAAGGCUCAACCUUGGAACUGCCUUUGAUACUGGGGAUCUUGAGUCCGGGAGAGGUGAGUGGAACUGCGAGUGUAGAGGUGAAAUUCGUAGAUAUUCGCAAGAACACCAGUGGCGAAGGCGGCUCACUGGCCCGGAACUGACGCUGAGGCGGCGAAAGC
rnacentral:rRNA from 1 species